rnacentral:lncRNA from 12 species
AUGACAUGGUCUUCUCUUUCUGUUGUCUCCAUGGUGACAAGAACUCUGCAUCUUGUGUCUGAGAUUUGCUAUGGAUUGGAUCUUAUAUCCAAGGUUUUCUCUGCCCAGGUUCCUACUGAUCUGUCUACUUUGGGGCCUCCUACAAUUCAUCACCUUCCAGUUUCCAUUGGGAAGAGCUUUGACAUACUGAGUCAUAACCUAGGAAACCAUAAAGAAUCUUCUAACGGUAAUAUUAAAGUAGAAAGACCAUCAGCAAUAAAAUGUCAAGAAGUACAGAAAAAUUCUGAAAGACAUCGUAGAACAUAGUUACUGCUAAAGCCAUGAGAAAAGCAACCACAAUCAAUGCAAAGCGAUAAUUAUAGCAUUCUUUCAAAUCAUCCUUAAUGACAGCAAGCACAGCCUAGCCUCAUUAGUAAACCACAAGGUGCUGUCCAACUAAUGGAACCCACUGGCAAUCUCAAUAAAUAUUCCAUUUCUGAGAGCCUUUGCA